rnacentral:rRNA from 1 species
UACGUAGGCAGCAAGCGUUGUUCGGAGUUACUGGGCGUAAAGGGUGUGUAGGCGGUUCUUUAAGUUUGGUGUGAAAUCUCCCGGCUCAACUGGGAGGGUGCGCCGAAUACUGAGGGACUAGAGUACGGGAGAGGAAAGUGGAAUUCCUGGUGUAGCGGUGAAAUGCGUAGAUAUCAGGAGGAACACCGGUGGUGUAGACGGCUUUCUGGACCGUAACUGACGCUGAGACGCGAAAGCGUGGGUAGCAAACAGG